rnacentral:rRNA from 1 species
AUACGGAGGGUGCGAGCGUUAAUCGGAAUUACUGGGCGUAAAGCGCGCGUAGGCGGCUUGGUCAGUCGGAUGUGAAAGCCCCGGGCUUAACCUGGGAACUGCAUUCGAUACUGCCAGGCUAGAGUAUGGUAGAGGGAAGCGGAAUUUCCGGUGUAGCGGUGAAAUGCGUAGAUAUCGGAAGGAACACCAGUGGCGAAGGCGGCUUCCUGGACCAAUACUGACGCUGAGGUGCGAAAGCGUGGGGAGCAAACAGGAUUAGAAACCCUUGUAGUCC